rnacentral:tRNA from 1 species
GCUGGCGUAGCUCAGUUGGAAGAGCAGCGGUCUUGUAAACCGGUGGUCGUGGGUUCAAAUCCCUCCGCCAGCUCCA